rnacentral:lncRNA from 1 species
AUUUAAAAUGGUGGGUGAUGUGGGAAGGUAUCCCAACAUGAUCAUGCAGUGGCAUAAUCAUGGCUCACUGCAGCCUUGUCCUCCUGGGCUCAAGACAUCCUCCCGCCUCAGCCUCCAGUGUAGCUGAAACUAUAGGCAUGUGUUACCACACCCAGCUAAUUUUUGAUUUUUUGUGGAGACAGGAUCUCGCUGUGUUGCCCGGGCUGGUCUCAAACUUCUGGACACAAACAAUCCUCCACAUUGGCCUCCCAAAAUGCUGGAAUUACAGGUGUGAGCCACUGGACCAGCAGGACUCUAAAUUUUGGGUCAGAUGAAAGUGAGAUCCAUACAUCCUUCUUCAGCAACUUGUGCCUCUGCUCUGCACCUCCCGCAAUUAACUACUGAAAAAAGAACACAGCUUCACAAAAGAGAUUGUAAAAUCAGGAAGUAUAUCUAAGUCACCUCCAGUAGCCGUAACUCUACCUUGUCCAGUAAAAGUGCUGCUUGUUGCUGACGUUUCUGCCCAAACAUCAUGAAAUGUGGAGAAGAAAGAACACUCAGAUGUGCCCUGGAGACUUUCCUUUUAUUUUUAAACAGUUUUUUUUUCCAUUGGGUUUGACCAACUCUAUAUUCGACUUGAACAAAUCCGAAGGAAAGCUUCCAAUUAUGGGGAACAAGUCCUCUGAAGUGGCUAAAUUCCCACACACACAAAAGAAAAGAUGAGUCUAUGCCCAGGACCACCAGAUAAUUGAGUCCUGUACAAAAGCUUCUGACUAAACAAUGUGCUCUGGCUCAGGACUAUACAGAGAAAAGACACAGUUUUUAAAUUGAUCGUUCAAAAGGAAACAUAUUUAUGAUAUUUGCUCCAUGAUAUGUAUCUCUCAUCUGUUAGCUCAGGCAGAAUUAAAAUGCUAGACAAUAAUGUUCCAUGCCACUAUGCUUACUCGGGUCUCUCACAUUGGUGUACUUCUGGCACAAAGUCACAUGACAUUUGAGUAAUAGCUGUCUCCCAUGUGGACUUUACACCACAUGAUGUCAGGGGCCAUUCAUUCUAUUCCAAUUACAUAAAUCAUAGAUUAGGAUAGGUCUUGGCAAGGACUGGGUACUAUAUGAAUAUUUUUGAGUAAAUGUAUGAGCACAAAAUAUUUUAUGUGGUUAUGUAUCUAGUAAAACAUGCAAGGCUAACAUAUCCUCUUUCAUUAGACUUCAAGAAAACUCCAGCGAAUAUUUAUCAGAAAAAGAAAACCAGGAAAAAUGAAAGAAGUAAUAAAAUUAAAAUCUCGUACAGACCAAAAAUAAAUGAUACAGAGCAUUUAGGUAGUCAGAAGCUGUGCUAACUGGUUUCCAAACAAGGUAAAGAACAGCCUGCUAGGAACACACUGUAUCUCAAAGGGCAAAACAAUAACGUCAAACCUUUCUCCUCUGCAUUGCAAAUACCAUUUGCAUUUCAAUGACACUACACUCUAAAGAAUAUGCUCUACUAAGUUUGUUAGAUAAGCCGCAUGUGCUGUGUUUCAAAUCACAUAGUAAUAAAAGUGUUCCAGUUCUUUGAUAGAUUUACGUAAUUCCCUAACUGGACUACCAUUGAUUCCCCUUAAGAAAGGUAUAUAGACUCUCUAUGAAAAAUAGAGUUUCUUAAAUCCAGCUUCCUAUGUGGAAAGUAUUAUUACUUUAUAGGAAAAUAAUUUCUAGCUGUUUUCCUGUUGUUCCCAAGAGUCUUUCCAAUUUCUUUAUAUAUCUGUCUUAGAAUGUUCAAUUUUCUCAAGCCCCUUAAAAAAUCAUUCUUGCUUUUCUACUCAUUUCCACUUGUUAAACUUGACCCAGUUUUCUCUUGGUUUCAUAUUUUACCAUUCAACUUUUAUUCCACUCUCUACCCUCUCCAACUCCCCUAAAUAAAUUGUUUUUUCAGGUCAUAAUACCCCUAUUUGUUUUUCCUACACAACGGGUAAGCUCAGAUGGAACAUUAUCGAAUGGUGAAAAGCAUAAGUUUGUCUUAGGACACAAAGUUUCUAACAAAGAUUGAUUCUUCUCAUAUGAAAUAACUGCUUCUUUAUACUUUUCAUGGCAUUUUAGAAUACAGGGUAGGAUUGCAGUCCCUGAAAUGUACCAAUUCUGAAUUAAACUAAUUAAUUAAUUAAUUUUCUUAGCACCCCACAGAGAUUGUGCCAUCACUUUUUUGUAUCAUGCUGCCCCUGAUUUUCCUCCUAGUGGGCCCGAAACAUCCAUCUUUCCACGAGUGUGGUCAGGAGAUUAGGACUGUUAUAAAUGAAGUGCAAAGAGAUUUACUAUUCCAAGCAGAAUUUUGCAGUCAGUAAGAUGUUAAAGAUUAUCUAAAGAAUAUCAAGUCAAAUCCAGAAGUCUCAGCUGAAGGUGUUUCUUCUUUAACAUACAGAUUUUAUACUGCCCAUCAAUGAGGGUAGGCCUUGGGACAGAUUUAUUCUAAGAAAUGAGGAUAGAGUAGAGAAAGAAAAAGUCUGAAGCUCUUCUUAUGGGGCUGCAGAGCUGGGAGACUUUCAGAAAUAUGAGAAAGGAAAUAAGAGAGGCAGAUGACACAUGAGUUUUCAUGUUUUCUCUCCAAACAGAUAGGCAGUCUGGAAAAGCUAAGGAUGUGGGCUUUUGACUAGAAUAAUGUUUGGGACUCUGAAAGGGGUUUGCCUUGGAUGACUGCCCUGCACAGCUUCAAGAUGGCCACAUCGGGGGAAACACAGUGGCACAGUGUGGUGACAGAGGGCUGAUGUUCAGUAUCUGAGUCAUUCUUCAUGUGUGGCAUGAAUAGAGCUAUUUGUUCUAAGGAGGGACUUUGGAGGUGGCUAAAUGGAGUUGGAUAGUCUGCCAUGUGGCCAGUUUUGUUGGUGAUUCUGCAGAUGAACUACCUGCACCAGGAGUCUGAGGGAGGAUGUUACAGGAAUGCAGAGAGGUCUACAGUACAAGUAGGAGUUAAAAUGAGGUCAACUCUCAGCCUGGCAUGGUGACUUGGGCCUGUAAUCCCAGAAUUUUGGGAGUCUGAGGUGGGAGGAUUGCUUGAGCUCAGGAGUUUGAGACCAGCCUGGGCAACAUAGCCAAACCAUCUCUACAAAAAAUAAAAAAAUUAUGUGAGUGUGGUGGUGAGCACCUGUAGAUCCAGCUACUUGGGAGGCUGAAGUGGGAGGAGUGCUUGAGCCUGGGAGGCCAAGGCUGCAGUGAGCCAUGAUUGCAUCACUGCAGUCCAGCCUGAGUGACAGAGCAAAACCCUGUCUCAAAAAAAAAAAAAAAAAAUGAGGUCAACUCAGCCACUGAUUACUGCUAGAUGCUGACCAAGUUAGAGAGGACAACCCAGUGGAUUAAACCUUUCUCCAAAUUAAGCCACAUUGCUAGCAUGUCAGUGAUGAUCAAGAGGUCAAAGUAGUGAGUGAGGGCUAAAGAAGUGAGAGCACACUUAAUAUCAGAAAUAUUUCAGUCCAUGGGCAAAAGGAUAUUCUUACCAUGGGUAAGAGGAGGAAGUUUGCAGAAAUCUGAAACACUGAAACAAUUCUCUUAAAGACACUGGGAAAGGCUUCAGUGUCCAAACUGUUUUAAACCAAAUGAGUCUGUUUUUAAUUUUUUCUCCAACUGGAGAAAAUUGAAAAUUGUUUUGGUUGGGGCCAAGGGUGAAGGAGUCUUGAAGAACAUUGGAUCAGAUAUACCAAAUGACCAAUUUGAUAGAUUGAUUGAUUGACUAAUUUUUUUUUAAACUUUUAAGUUACUAUGGGAGUAAAUUCAUUACUUUGCUACAAAUGUUGUGGGAAAGUGGACAAGUCAAUGCACUACUGUGAAUACUUAUUCACUAAUUCACGUUUCCAUUUGGAAAAAUAAAGGAGUUGGGCUGCAUAAUUCUUAAGGUCUUCUUUAGUUGAGAGAACCUAUAUGUAUUUAUAGUCUGUCCUUCUUAUGUAGAGAACACGAAUGUCUAAUUAUUUACAUUUAUUUUUAUGAUAGAAUUAAAACGAUGUAUUAAGCUGGCCUUUUUUCAGACAUACUUGCAACCAGAGUCAUCAAUUUUGAAGACAGCAACCAAGCCAAGCAAUGUGAGGUUACAGCUAUGAAAUAGAACAGAGAUGUCUAGACUAUAGACACAGCCUGCCGUUUUGUGCUGAUUGGUAAAGUGUUCCAGCCAACUGGAAGCAAAUAUUUCUCAGAAGCAGUUUCCUGCUCUCAUCCUCUCCUCGCCAUGCCCACUGUGCCCAACAUGGCUCCAGCUGGGUCACAGAAGACUUUGUCCUGGAAUACAGCAUUUCCCUAUUUAAAUCUCUAACUUUGUAUGUACUCUUUUCAAUAAAAGCAUAUUUUUCAUUACCAUUCUGACCAUACUCCCUUCUCUGCUGGCUCCACAGCUAAGGUUUCUGCACCUGUUCCAUAACUUCUGGGAUCUGUCUCUGUUGCUGCACGUAUGCAUUCCAUAAGCAUUAAUAGAUCCAUUCACUCUUCUGAAAUCUGGGCAGCUUAAAUCAUAUUACAUCUAACGUAUUUUUACUAGAGUCAGUUCUACCCCCCGACUCUUGAGUGCACACACAGGCACUUCUCUGUAAGUUCCUUGAGGUCAGAAAUAGUCCCCUAGUCAGCCUUCUGCCUUCUGUAGUUCCUGGUCCAUCAAGGUGCAGAGUACAUAUUCCACAGAUAAAUAGAUAACUCUCAUUCAAUGCUCUGAUCUUUCCUUUAUCUUGUUUCCCUGGAUAUUCCUCUUUCACGGCUCUUUUCUAUUUAAUUU